AGAGUUUGAUCCUGGCUCAGAACGAACGCUGGCGGCAUGCCUAACACAUGCAAGUCGAACGCCAUCCUCUGGAUGGAGUGGCGCACGGGUGAGUAACGCGUGGGAACCUGCCUUUUUCUGCGGGACAACGAUUGGAAACGAUCGCUAAUACCGCAUACGCCCUACGGGGGAAAGGUCCGCCGGAGAGAGAGGGGCCCGCGUUUGAUUAGCUAGUUGGUGGGGUAAUGGCUCACCAAGGCGACGAUCAAUAGCUGGUCUGAGAGGAUGAUCAGCCACACUGGGACUGAGACACGGCCCAGACUCCUACGGGAGGCAGCAGUGGGGAAUAUUGGACAAUGGGGGCAACCCUGAUCCAGCAAUGCCGCGUGUGUGAUGAAGGCCUUAGGGUUGUAAAGCACUUUCACUGGCGAAGAUGAUGACGGUAACCAGAGAAGAAGCCCCGGCUAACUUCGUGCCAGCAGCCGCGGUAAUACGAAGGGGGCGAGCGUUGUUCGGAAUUACUGGGCGUAAAGGGCGUGUAGGCGGCUCUUUAAGUUAGGCGUGAAAGCCCCGGGCUCAACCCGGGAACUG
rnacentral:rRNA from 1 species